GAUGAACGCUGGCGGCGUGCUUAACACAUGCAAGUCGAACGAGAAGUGAAGACGGAAACCUUCGGGCGGACGGCUUUAUUUCGAGUGGCGGACGGGCGAGUAACGCGUGGGUAACCUGCCUCAUACAGGGGGAUAACAGUUGGAAACGACUGUUAAUACCGCAUAAGACCACAGCACCGCAUGGUGCGGGGGUAAAAACUCCGGUGGUAUGAGAUGGACCCGCGUUCGAUUAGCCAGUUGGCGGGGUAACGGCUCACCAACGCGACGAUCGAUAGCCGAUCGGAGAGGAGGACCGGCCAGAUUGGGACUGAGACACGGCCCAAACUCCUACGGGAGGCAGCGGUUGGGAAUAUUGCACAAUGGGGGAAACGCUGAUGCAGCGACGCCGCGUGAAUGAAGAAGGAUUUCGGUAUGGAAAGCACUAGGAGCGGGGAAGAAAAUGACGGUACCUGAGGAAGAAGCCCCGGCUAACUACGUG
rnacentral:rRNA from 1 species